CCAGAAUGUCAUCAAAAUGCUCUCCUUGACGUUAGUUUACUAUGGAAACCAGGAAGUAAUAAUAUACCCUCAGAGGCAGAGUGUUGAUCUCCAUCUCAUUCGGUCACACCCACCCAAUCCAGGAAAUGAAUGGAGGAAGGGCACCGCGGACACAGCACCCACUUCCCGUCAGCCAUUCACACCAGAGACCAGAGACAGAGAGCUGCCGUCUGAUAAGGGAGGGCAGAGAGCGGGGUGCGUUCGUGAUGCAUGUCUUCAACUCAGAGAGACGCUCUCAAACAAGGACGUGGGUUGGCCUCCCAGCUCUGCCACUUCUCAGCUGUGGGGUGUGCACCUUGUGCCCUAACAUCUCCGAUCCCUUGUCUCCAUUUGUCCAAAAGAACUGUAAGUGUGUCUACUCUGGAAGGGUUGAGGACAGAGGAAAAAAGGUCUGCGGCAGUUCCCCAGUGGUGGGUGAUUUUGCAAGCCCUAGGCAGUGGUCCCUGGCCCUACUGGGACUGGUGCGUGCUUCCCCUCAGAUCAAUGAAGAAGCAGCUGGAGAAAUCCAGCCCUUCUGAGCUCCACUCGGGUGGGCGCGAGGCUGGCAAGCACGAGAAACAAUGCUGCACGUUCCAGUAUGUGUUUUCCCCUCAAAAGCAGAUUUAUUUUUUAAGCCAUGUUUAUUAGUGAGAAUAAACGGGCUUCGUGGGAAGGUUCAAUGGAAAUAUUUAGGAAUUUGUCGCUUAAGCCUUUUCAGAAUACUUCAAGGUUUUGAGACUUAGUCUAAUAACUGUUGUGCUUUUCUAAUUAAAAGUUGCUUAUCCAAGUGAAAUUCAACUGAACCUGAAAUUAAGCCCGUGAAGGACGUCCUUCAGUGGCAUGAAGUCAAUUCACCGUGUUGUGAACUCAGCCCAUCUCGGCACCUACAUGAGGUUUUCAUUGGUCCCCAGGGAAAACCAGCACCCACAGAGUGUGGGCUCCUCACUCCCACCUCCCUGUAAACCGCUGCCACCAUGAACCUGCUUUCUAAGACAACUCGGGUUUCCAACACUAAUUUUUGGGCCUGCCUCUCCGUACAUUUCAAUGGGCUCAGACACGAUGUGACCUUUGGUGUCUGGCUCAUUUCCUUUGAAAUCAUUUCCAGGUCCAUCCAAGUUAGAACGUGCAUCCAGACUUCACUCCUCUCGAAGGCUGCCCAACCUUGUGUUGUGGGAUAGACCACUGCUGGCGAUCCUGCCACGCUGAGGUGACACUUGGGAUGCUUCCUUUGGAAGCACCAGUGAACAUUCAGUUACCUGUAUGUCCUUGAGUGCCUCUCUCACCUUGGGUGACAUGCACCAGGAGUGAGUGUUUGUCGACAUUUUUCACUGUGACCAAUCGAUGCGAUGAGAACAAUCAUAGGAGAGAAAGUUUAUUUUGGCUCACAGUUUCAGAGGUCUCAGUCCUGAGUCGACCGACUCCCUUGGUCUGGGCCAGAGGUGAUACAGAACACCAGGGUGGAAGGGAAGUGGCAGAGGAAAGCUGCUGGCCUCGUGGUGGCCGGGAAGCAGGGUGAGAGGAUUGGGAAGGGGUACAGGGAAGAACAACCCUUCCAGGUGACCCCCUCCUCCAGCCACACCCCACCUGUCUACAGAGACCCAGACAGUCCUUUCAAACUCGGACGGACCGGUUGGGGCUGCAGCUCUCACCAUCCAAUUGUUCCUCCUUCUGCGUGAACACGGGAGGUUUGAAGAGACACCUCACAUCCACACCAUCACAGAAUGCAAGUACUGUGUCAUGAUGCUUGGACCAUGAUGACUUCCCUCGUUUUCGCUGCCGAGAACUCCUCCUAGUGCUUCAGGAGCCAACCUCAGUUCUCCAUCUACUGAGAUAGUCACCCCAAAGCCCCACCCUCCCCUCAAGUUCUGAGGCUACUGCUAGAAAAACAAAGCAUGCGGCAGGCAUUUGGGCUGUCAAACAGCUUUCACAGAUGUCCACACCACAGUCUUCUAAAAGAGCGAGUGUUUGGUCCUGCAUCCAGGAGUAACACGCCAAGGUGGUGGGAGGUGAAUCUUUGCACGUGUUUGCCACACCCAUAGAAGGGGAAGCAUAGAGAAUCUUCAGCGAGGACCAGAUUAGGAAACUCUACCCAAUCAGAGCAGGACACAGCUACAUUGGUAGCUCAGGACACGACAGGGUUGUUCCCGUCCGUCAUUGCUCACCCAACACAUGGCACGCUGCUCCUAAACUGUGGAACAAUGGGCGGCGAAUUGCACUGCCUUUGAAGAAUAGAUUUUUGUAACAUUUUA